rfam:Myotis lucifugus cont2.32462, whole genome shotgun sequence.
GCCAGCAUGGCUCAGUGGUUGAGUAUCCAACUAUGAAUCAGAAAGUCAGGGUUUGAUUCCCAGUUAGGGCA